AAGCCUCUGACUGGUUUUGUUACUAAAGGAAAAUGUACCACAGCAGGCUGACGGAACUCCUAGAACCGAUGUGAAGGGCGGAGGUUGAUACUAUGCAGCUGCUUUGCCCUGGUUCAGGAAUAAAUCGGGAGAAAUCUGUGAAGCACAGAGCAACCUACUCAAGUGUGAAGCAAUCAUUUUCUCCACUGACGUCUUCUAGCAUUUUCUUUCACAGUGUAUUUACGGGAUUCCUAGUUCACCAAAGUUGCUUCCUAAGGCUGUGCAGCACUGGGUUUCUUUUCUGGAGUCAUCGAGACCAAUUCUGUUUGCUAAAUAAAUUCCAGGCAAGAAUGCUUUGACUCUUGCCCAGGCAAGGCAAGGGUCUAAU